rnacentral:rRNA from 1 species
UGACGGUACCAGAGGAAUCAGCCUCGGCUAACUCCGUGCCAGCAGCCGCGGUAAGACGGAGGAGGCAAGCGUUAUCCGGAAUUAUUGGGCGUAAAGCGUCCGCAGGCGGCUUUUCAAGUCUGCUGUCAAAGCCCAGAGCUCAACUGUGGAUAGGCAAUGGAAACUGGGAAGCUAGAGUGUGGUAGGGGCAGAGGGAAUUCCCGGUGUAGCGGUGAAA